rnacentral:tRNA from 1 species
CAGGGAGACAACAAAAUGUUUAAUAUUAUUAUUUUGUCACCUUAGGUCGAUCGGUAUCUCACUUUCUUAUUUUGUUAAGAAUUUCAUUUCCUAAGUUUUUCUAGGUCACACCCAUUAUUUCCUGGGCCAUUAGCUCAGGUGGUUAGAGCGCACCCCUGAUAAGGGUGAGGUCCCUGGUUCAAGUCCAGGAUGGCCCAUAUCUCUAUGUUGGGGGUAUAGCUCAGUUGGUAGAGCGCCUGCUUUGCAAGCAGGAUGUCAGCGGUUCGAGUCCGCUUACCUCCACUGAUUACCACCUCUUCCAUAACCGGUAGAAAGGAAAUGUUUUGAGUUGUGAUCAUUAUUCUGAACGAAUCUAGCUUCCUGAUGAAAUCAUUAAGAUGCUGGACUCAUUGAAUUAAGUUCAUUGUUUUCAGAGAACCUUGACAACUGCAUAGAUUAUUUUUAAAGACAAUAAGCAUCUUUAAUGAUGCAGAUUUUUUAUUUGUGCGAAUGCAUUAAUAGCAAUUCUAUUAAGCUGAUGCUUCAAUUUUUGAAGUUAUU